rnacentral:tRNA from 1 species
GGGCCGCUAACUCAAUUGGCAGAGUACGCGCCUUUUAAGCGCUUAGUUGCGGGUUCGAGUCCCGCGCGGCCCA